UACGGAGGGUGCGAGCGUUGUCCGGAAUCACUGGGCGUAAGGGGCGCGUAGGCGGCGCGGGAAGUCAUCGGUGAAAGUUCAGGGCUCAACUCUGAAUCGGCCGGUGAUACUCUCGUGCUUGAGCACUGUAGAGGCAGGUGGAAUUCCGGGUGUAGCGGUGGAAUGCGUAGAGAUCCGGAAGAACACCGGUGGCGAAGGCGGCCUGCUGGGCAGUAGCUGACGCUGAUGCGCGACAGCGUGGGAGCAAACAGG
rnacentral:rRNA from 1 species